rnacentral:tRNA from 1 species
GGAGAGGUGGCUGAGUGGUUGAAAGCGGCAGUCUUGAAAACUGUUUAGGGAGUCUCUCCCUACGUGAGUUCGAAUCUCACCCUCUCCG